GCUCCUGUAGCUCAGUCGGUAGAGCGUUUCCAUAGUAAGGAAGAGGUCGCAGGUUCGAUUCCUGUCGGGUGCA
rnacentral:tRNA from 1 species